UUGAAAGGGAAACGAUUGAAGUCAGUCGUACCGACGAGAAAUCAACUUAUCGUGUGCGAACUUGUGGGCGUGCGUGAGUUUCGGCCUCGCUGUUUGCAUGUUUGUGCGCUUUGGGUGUACUUUUUCGUAUGGUAGGCCAACGUCAGCUUCGAUUAUCAUAAAAUGACCGGCGGAAUGUAGCUUCGAUUUCGGUUGAAGUGUUAUAGCCUCUGGUAGAUGUGGUGAUUGAGACUGAGGAUUGCAACGAAUACCCUUUGGGCUAUCCGUCUGGCCUCUGAAAGUUGCUCAGGUGCCGAAAGCGUGCUUACGGUCAUCUAAGAUAACGUUCAACAGGUUAGAACGUGAUUACAUUCGUUAAGGAUGUUGACGUA
rnacentral:rRNA from 1 species